UACGAAGGGGGCUAGCGUUGUUCGGAAUCACUGGGCGUAAAGCGCACGCAGGCGGAUCGAUAAGUCGGGGGUGAAAGCCCGGGGCUCAACCUCGGAAUUGCCUUCGAUACUGUCGGUCUCGAGUCCGUGAGAGGUGAGUGGAAUUCCUAGGGUAGAGGUGAAAUUAGUAGAUAUUAGGAAGAACACCAGUGGCGAAGGCGGCUCACUGGCCCGGUACUGACGCUCAGGUGCGAAAGCGUGGGGAGCAAACAGG
rnacentral:rRNA from 1 species